rnacentral:rRNA from 1 species
AGCAGUAAAUGUGGAGCCGUAGCGAAAGCGAGUCUGAAUAGGGCGUUUAGUAUUUGGUCGUAGACCCGAAACCAGGUGAUCUACCCUUGGUCAGGUUGAAGUUCAGGUAACACUGAAUGGAGGACCGAACCGACUUACGUUGAAAAGUGAGCGGAUGAACUGAGGGUAGCGGAGAAAUUCCAAUCGAACCUGGAGAUAGCUGGUUCUCUCCGAAAUAGCUUUAGGGCUAGCCUCAAGUGAUGAUUAUUGGAGGUAGAGCACUGUUUGGACGAGGGGCCCCUCUCGGGUUACCGAAUUCAGACAAACUCCGAAUGCCAAUUAAUUUAACUUGGGAGUCAGAACAUGGGUGAUAAGGUCCGUG